CUGAUUUCUACAAAGAUGGACGUCACAUCCAUAGAAGCUCCACAGGAAACAUGACCAUCCACAGAGUUUCAAAAUCAAACGAGGGACUUUACAAGUGCAGCAUCUCAGGAGUUGGAGAAUCACCAGAGAGCUGGCUAAAAGUCUCAGACUCUCAAAUUGUGAAUUCAACUACUAAUCCAGACAGUCACAUAGAGACGAGCCACACUUCCCCUGCUGCCACACCUUGGAUCACUGCUACGAUUUUAUUUCUUUUUCUCUUGAUUGUGACCAUGGGACUGUAUCACUUUAGCAAAGAGGCCAGUAGAGUGAACACAGGUAGAGCAACAUGUGCUGCUGCAAGAAAAAACAGGAAGAAGAAAGAAGAUGCACUGUCGUCUACAUCCAUUUACUACAGCUUUGUCCCGAGUGACACUCAACCACAAGAUGCACGGUCCAAUAGAGCUAUUUACAGCUUAGCCCAGGGUGAAACUCAGCCACAAAAUGAAGGUGAACUGUCUUCUAGAAGCUUUUACUACAGUUUAGCCCAGGGUGACACUCAGCCACAAGCAGAAUCAGAACCCACCACAAAAAUCCUCUCACCAGGUAUAAACCAGCCAAUAGCAGAGGAUCCCUUUUAUUCUCCAAUCCAGACGGUAAGACUGGGGGCAGUUAUGCCUUACGUGUUGCAUUCAGAUAAUAUGUGAUGAAGAUGAAUAAAUGGGUUUCAUAGUGUAGACACUCCAAUGCUAACUCCAGUGUUAUAAUAUAGAUAUACAGUGGUGUGAAUAAGUGUUGGCCCC
ensembl:lncRNA